GUGAGGAAUCUUGCGCAAUGGGCGAAAGCCUGACGCAGCAACGCCGCGUGGGUGAUGAAGGCCUUCGGGUCGUAAAACCCUGUCAGGUGGGAAGAAUCGGACGGGAGCCAAUACCUCCUGUUCCUGACUGUACCACCAGAGGAAGCCCCGGCUAACUCCGUGCCAGCAGCCGCGGUAAUACGGAGGGGGCCAGCGUUGUUCGGAAUUAUUGGGCGUAAAGGGCGCGUAGGCGGCCAAGUAAGUCUGACGUGAAAUCCCUUGGCUUAACCAAGGAAUUGCGUCUUAAACUGCUCGGCUUGAGUCCGGGAGAGGGUAGUGGAAUUCCCAGUGUAGCGGUGAAAUGCGUAGAUAUUGGGAGGAACACCGGUGGCGAAGGCGGCUACCUGGACCGGUACUGACGCUGAGGCGCGAAAGCUAGGGUAGCAAACAGGAUUAGAUACCCCAGUAGUCC
rnacentral:rRNA from 1 species